UGCGCGGCGAAAAACCUUACACACAGUGUUUUUUGUUAUUACAAGAACUUUUGCUUUGGUCUGGACUAGAAAUAGUUUGGGCCAGAGGUUUACUGAACUAAACUUCAAUAUUUAUAUUGAAUUGUUAUUUAUUUAUUUGUCAAUUUGUUGAUUAAAUUCAAAAAAUCUUCAAAACUUUCAACAACGGAUCUCUUGGUUCUCGCAUCGAUGAAGAACGCAGCGAAAUGCGAUAAGUAAUAUGAAUUGCAGAUUUUCGUGAAUCAUCGAAUCUUUGAACGCACAUUGCGCCCUCUGGUAUUCCAGAGGGCAUGCCUGUUUGAGCGUCAUUUCUCUCUCAAACCUUCGGGUUUGGUAUUGAGUGAUACUCUUAGUCGAACUAGGCGUUUGCUUGAAAUGUAUUGGCAUGAGUGGUACUGGAUAGUGCUAUAUGACUUUCAAUGUAUUAGGUUUAUCCAACUCGUUGAAUAGUUUAAUGGUAUAUUUCUCGGUAUUCUAGGCUCGGCCUUACAAUAUAACAAACAAGUUUGACCUCAAAUCAGGUAGGAUUACCCGCUGAACUUAAGCAUAUCAA
rnacentral:rRNA from 1 species